AAAUGAAUAACAAUGUCGUAACCAGAAGCUUGGUGCUUAUAACAAGUAAAAAGCCGCCAUCACAAGGAAUAAAACGUGAUAAAUUAGACCAAUCUUGGAAGCCACACUGGCUGCACCAGUAGCUGGCGAAUAGCUUCCUUCAGGUGUGCCUGUUGUGAGAACAACUACUAUCCAGUCUCCAUCGGAACCAAUCCCAACUCCUGUAUACUUGGUGUCAUUGAGGUUAUCAUUAUACUGAGACUGUGUAAAGUUAGUGAGUACAAGAUUUGGAACUAGGUUAGGAACACAAGCAGGCAUUACUGCUCCAUCCCUUGUGUUGGAGACACAUUCAAAUGGCAUUUGGCCAGAAGGUUUGGGUAGUUGGCAAACUGCGGUUCAGUGCCUGGAACGGUGUUGGCACCGGUGGAGUUUGUGCAAGGUUGGUUCUUAAAUUGAUCUGCUAGUUCAUCAGCAAGGCACUCGGCAUUGUCAUUUUUCUUCAGAAUUGUCAAGUUCAAUGAAGCCCGGUAAUCGUUUAUGCCUUUAAGAAGAUUAUCCUCCUCAUCUGUAAAUGGUCAAGAAUAAAGUCGGUGAUUACAUAUAAUAUUUUACUGCCAUUUCGUAUUAGAAAGAAUAAACAAAAAAGUUCUAUUUUGGGUGUGAACCAAAAUGCAAAGAAGAUCGAUUUUCUUCGCCUCUUGAAACAAAAAGAAAAUCAUAGUUACAUGGCAGAAAAUUUCCAGCAAAAUAAGUUUAUAUCCUCCCAUGUAGCUAAAUUGCUGAACAGCUAAACAUCAGAAAGAUCCAGUACUGCAACUCAUGAAGUUACUCAAAAUUCAAACCAAGUAAUCCAUACAAAAGCCAAAUCUCAUCAGUCAGCUUAGGAUAUCAGAGAGAAAACAACAUUUUUAUUCAAAGGGGAAACCAUACAGGCUAAUAAAACCCAGAUUUCUAGCUAUAUGACUGCACUCUAGACCCUCCAAACAAAGUCAAUCUGAACCCGCAUCUAAUUCAAAUUUGAUGGCUCAUAUUAGCCAUAGUUAUGAUGGUCAGAGCUCAAGGUUAGGUUUAGGACUGUAAUACAGCUGAGUCAAAAAUCGGAUCCAGCUCAGUUAAGUACCAUUUUUUGAGAUAGAGCUUUGCUCUAGAUGAAAUCGAACUAUUUUUCAUACAGGAAGGACAACUAGAAAUCUGCAUUCUGCUGGAACAGUGAGUCCGAAAAUUCUAAGACAUAUUACAUGAAAAAUUAGGGAAGUGUUUACUUGGUGCACCAGUAGCUGGCGAAUAGCUUCCUUCAGGUGUGCCUGUUGUGAGAACAACUACUAUCCAGUCUCCAUCGGAACCAAUCCCAACUCCUGUAUACUUGGUGUCAUUGAGGUUAUCAUUAUACUGAGACUGUGUAAAGUUAGUGAGUACAAGAUUUGGAACUAGGUUAGGAACACAAGCAGGCAUUACUGCUCCAUCCCUUGUGUUGGAGACAUUCAAAUGGCAUUUGGCCAGAAGGUUUGGGUAGUUGGCAAACUGCGGUUCAGUGCCUGGAACGGUGUUGGCACCGGUGGAGUUUGUGCAAG
rnacentral:lncRNA from 1 species